UGGUCCGAGAGUGAUUUUCUCACUUCU
rnacentral:piRNA from 1 species